GGGCUAACCUAUUGAUUUUCAAGUUGCAGCAAGUUGACUCUUAAUCAAUAGGUCCAAGGUUCGAAUCCUUGACAGCCCACCA
rnacentral:tRNA from 1 species